rnacentral:rRNA from 1 species
UACGUAGGUGGCAAGCGUUGUCCGGAUUUAUUGGGUUUAAAGGGUGCGUAGGCGGCUUUGUAAAGUCAGUGGUGAAAUAUGGCAGCUUAACUGUCAGGGUGCCAUUGAUACUGCGGAGCUUGAGUACAGAUGAGGUAGGCGGAAUUGACGGUGUAGCGGUGAAAUGCUUAGAUAUCGUCAAGAACACCUAUAGCGAAGGCAGCUUACUAGGCUGUAACUGACGUGAGGCACGAAGUGUGGGGGAUCAAACAGG